rnacentral:misc_RNA from 1 species
GGGGCACAUGAUGACAUCGGUCCUU